GCAACUUUUUCCCAGAUGAUAUUAACAUUUCAAUCAGGAGGAUAAAGUGGAAUGUACUUCAUACUAUGCUGGGGCCUUGUGGGUAAAGUGAAGAUCUUCUAAGAACCAAAGAAUUUUGCCUUUGGACUUCACCCACAACACCAACUCUUUUCUCUCCUGUUUGGAGACAAUGUGACCUACACUAGACCUACAGUUCAUGAAGCAAAUCUGCCCUUACUAACUUCCUACACAAACUUCUCCAUUCCCUAGUCUACUACCCACUGUUCUUGUGAUGGCAAAGCAGCACACUGGCCCCAGUUCUGGAGAAGGAAGAAGUUUGGGGUUACACAGAACUCCACAAUGACUAGGACCCCCUUUCAGAAUGUUUACCACCAAGUUUCUUUUGAACAUGUACAGAUGCAGACCAUCUUCUUGAGGUUGUCAGUAGUUGCCAAUUAGAGUCUCUUUAAGCGAGUCUAUGAUUCUGCCAAGAAAGCUCGUGAUGAAUGGAGUCCAUUUGUGGGAGUGUGUAAGCAUUUGGCUUAUCCCCAGCGGCAUUGUGCAGAACCAUCUUCUGGAACUCAGCAUGCUAGAACCUGGGACAGUUUCCGCAUUUGAUCUGUCGAGAAGAUUAAGCAGAAGGAAGUCCGCAGCUGCAUUGAGACUUGUGGAAGCACCGUGGAGAUUCCGUCCAGUUUGUAUUUACAGGGAAUGUGGGAUUUCUUUUGUUCUGCAUUGAUUAAAAUGUAUCACAAGGAAGUAAAGGAAAUAUAUUACUUAACAUUGAUAAAAUCAUUGCUGUUUUGAUAAAAGUGUUGUUCAGAGUAUUGCGCUUGUAAAUAAGAUAAUGAUUAUAAGAUAAUGAAUUAUAAUAAGCUAAUUCUUACCUCAUUCACAUUUCACAGCCUGGGGUUCAGAAGUGUCCUUGCUUAGUAUCAUUGCAAUCUUGUUAGUCCUGAAAGCUUGAGUGCUGGGAAACAGAGAUGAGGUCAUGUUUUGUUUGCUUUGAUCAAGCAACAGAAUAUUGCUUUUUGGCACUGACUCAAGAAACCUUAAACUUUUUUUUUAAAGAUUUAUUUAUUAUGUAUACAAUGUAUGUUUGCAUGUACACCUGCGCGCCAGAAGAGGGCACCAGAUUUCAUUUUAGAUGGUUGUGAGCUGCCAUGUGGUUGCUGGGAAUUGAACUCAUGACCUCUUAACCUCUGAGCCAUCUCUCCAGCCCCAAGAAACCUUAAACUUAAACAUCCUUUUGUUUGCUUUUCUCAGUGAAAUAUCACAGAAUAAGGUGAAGGUGACUGAACUAAAUAUAUGUAUCUUGAUGCUGUUGACUCUGGGAAUCCCAAUACCGCUCUCAGAAAGGGGGAAAGAAGAGCAGUAAUGCCAUGAUGGUGUAAGAAUUUCCCAUUACUUGAUUAUUAUCCAUGUUUUUGCAGAGUAAAAUGAGCAUAAAAUAGUACAACUAUAACAAGAAAAUUGAAAGAAUUAAGGCAAUGUAGGUGGAAGGAGAGAUAUUUAUCUAACCCAGUCUUCCUUUCACCUCUCAGGGUCUUCCUGUCCCAGGCAAAAUAGAUAUUGUGAGAAGCAAUGAUCUGUUGUGUAAUGAUAGACCAUUGCUCCAAACACGAGCAGGAAUAUUCACAGUCCAGUCUACAUUCUAAUAUUAAAUUGCCUAUGCAGAGUUUUACUUAAAGGGCAUUCAGGACAAUAGUAGAUGAAAUAUUAAGAAGUCCUUUAAAAGGAGAUGGUGAGUUGUGUCUAGGGAAAUAUCAUCUUUUGUAACUGCCUUAGGAAAGCUUCUCCUAGGUCCAUAUUGAGCCAAAUGCAAUUUUCUGGAUUAUCUCAUUUUAUUUUCACAACCCUCUGGGGUGGUAUCAUCAUCAUCAUCAUCAUCAUCAUUUCAUAAAUAAGGAAACCAAGUCUUGCCUGAUCUUAUGGCUGGCUAAAGCUACAUAACUGGAGAAUUUAGGAGGCUUUAAAAUUAGUGUCAUGCCAAUGUGAUACCAUUGAAACUGGGAAUACCACAAACUGCAAUGUUUUCUCAGCUGUACCCAAUUUGCCUGUCUGGGUUUAUUUUUCAUAGGGACUUAACUACACUCUAGCAUAAUCUUAAAUGGAAAUUUCUGUGAAGUCCAAGUUGACCUCAAAACUCCUGGGCAAUCCUUCUACCAGCUUCCCAUGUGCUGGAUUGUGGGAGUGAACUAUCAUACCCAGCUUGAGGGUCUUAUUCUUUCUUUCACAUAGUUACUGAAUGGAUAUUGUUAUGGAAGAAUACAUGAUACCUCCUGGCUCUAACCUAGAUUGCAUCACUUUGAAUUUUCAAUUAGUUUACAAGCCCUUCCUAAUAUUUUAAUAUUAUCCUAAUAUUUUAUCCUAAUAUUUUGCUUUAAAUCCUGGUUUUUCCUUUUCUUUUCUAAAGAUUUAUUUAUUAUGUAUAUAGUAUUCUGCUGCACAUACACCUGCAUGUCAGAAGAGGGCACCAGAUCUCACGAUAGAAUGGCUGUGAGUUACCAUGUGGUUGCUGGGAAUUGAACUCAGGACCUCUGGAAGAACAGCCAGUGCUCUUAACCUCUGAGCCAUUUCUCCAGCCCCCUGAUUUUUCUUAUACUUUCGUUACGGCAUCAAGGCAUUUCAUUGUCAGGAAGCAUUUUUCCCUUUGUUUUGUGACACCAUUUCACUGUGUAACCCUAACCUGGUCUUGUGCAGAGGGUCAUCUGCCUCAGCCCUGAGUGCUGCCAUUACAGACAGGCUCAAUAAUUUGCAUUAUUUAUUUCUGUGCAGUAUCGGGAUUGCGCCAAGGGUCUCAUAAUUGCCAGGCAAAGGUUUUGCUACCAUAUCCCCAGAUUCUCAGCAUUGAUUUUUAAUCAACCAGUUUACCAGUUUUAAUACUUGUAGCAUUUGUAAACUUCUCUGAAGCCUGAUAAUUAGAAGUCAUCUUAUUUUGCUUUCUAUCACUAUUAUAGUACAUGUAACCAUCCUCUGUAUCUGCAUAUUUUAUAUCCGUUCAAUGACUGCACGCUCAAAAUAUUUUAAAAAAUGCAUCCGAACUGUGGACUUCCCUUGCCAUUAUUAACUAAGUGAUGUGGCAUACCAACUAUUUAUACAGCUUUUGCAUUCUUUUGUAUUAUAAUUAAUCUAGACAUGGCUUAAAGGAUGUGGGAAGAUAUGUGUAGACUAUCUCUAAUUACCAAGCAAUUUUGUAUGAUGUCCUUGUAUAUACAUCUACAGAUUUCAUAUCCAUGGGUGUUGAAGUUGUGUUUUCAGCUUCUUAAUUUCCAGCAGAUGGAUGAUAUUUUGACAUUAAUUGCCCUGAAUUUACAAAUGACUAUAAACUGACAUUUACAGCAAUCUGAGAGCAAUGGUAGUCUUUACAACAUUAAAUAUUUUACCUCAGGCAAAUAGAAUGGGAUUAUAUGUAGGCUUUCUAUGUUUUACAAAGAAGGAAAUUUUGCAAUAUUAUAACUAGUAAUCUUGGGGCAUUUUAUAGGCUUUCAUUUUGUUUUCAAAAACUAUUAAUGUUUUGUAUUAUGAACUAAUUUAAAUAUCAGCAUUGCAUUACUAAACUCCAGUUAGGUUUAGUAUUUUUUUGUUGACGUCCAUGCCUUUUCUGAGUCAGUGGUAGUUAACCCAUAAUAACAAAUUCUGAUUUUUCCAAGUCUUUAUAACUUUUGUUUUGUCUCUAUGCUCAUGUAGUUUCUCAGACCGCAAGUGAGCUAACAAUGAAAAGUUAAUUUUCUCCAAAAAAAUGGAAUGUUGGUAGUCCUCUGAUGGCUACAUGCAUCAGAUUUCUCAUUUUCUGGUAUUUAAGGCUUCAUUCGUUCUGUAAACCUUAUAAGCACUAUAACUGGAGAAGAACAUUGAAGUGGUGCAUAGGAUUCUGCAAAAAAUACCAGACGGUGUUAACUUACUUGAAGCUGUUCUCCAUACUUAUUUUACAUACACGUGGGUUUGCACACAGACACACUUAUUUACUUGCUAUGUUCUAAGGAAAUUGUUCCGUAUUUAACUAAUAGUUAAACCUGGAGCUGCAGUAAUGUUAGGCCUCUUGGUGGGAUUAGAUGAGUAGUAAAUAUUAAUGGGAUAAUUUCCAGAACAGAAUAGUUUAUAUAUAUUGUUAAAGUUGACUCCCCUACACAAGGUGCUUGCGGUGCACCUGAGCAUCAGUGUUUCCUUUAAAUGCUGUCUGUCUGUACCUGCCCCGCCCCAGUCUCUCUGUCUCUACCUCUCUGCCUCUCUCUUUCCCUCUCUGUCCCUCUCUCUGUAUGUGUGUCUUACUCUUGAAAUAUGUCUUUUUUAUACUUGAAUAUGUGAAUUAUUGUUUAAUCAAAUAUCUUCUUCUCUACAACAUUUUUACUUUUAUCAGACAAAUUUGAAAACUGCUCUGCAGAGGCUGUGGCUGGAGAGGUGGCUCAGCUGCCAAGAGCAUGCAUUGUUCUUCCAGACUCCUUAAGUUUGGUUCCCUGAAUCCAUAUAGGGCAACUACAACUGCCUGUAACUCCAGCUCCAGGGCAUCUGGUUCCUCUGGCUUCUUUGGGCAUGUGUGCCUUCCCCAAAAUAG